rnacentral:rRNA from 1 species
CUACGGGAGGCAGCAGUAGGGAAUAUUGCACAAUGGGGGAAACCCUGAUGCAGCGACGCCGCGUGAGUGAUGAAGGCCUUCGGGUCGUAAAGCUCUGUCGUAUGGGACUAACACAAUGAAGGUACCAUGCAAGAAAGGAUCGGCUAACUUCGUGCCAGCAGCCGCGGUAAUAAU